rnacentral:rRNA from 1 species
UACGUAGGGGGCAAGCGUUGUCCGGAAUCAUUGGGCGUAAAGCGCACGUAGGCGGCCCUGUAAGUCCGUUGUGAAAGUCAAAGGCUCAACCUUUGAAUGCCGAUGGAUACUGCAGGGCUAGAGUCCGGAAGAGGCGAGUGGAAUUCCUGGUGUAGCGGUGGAAUGCGCAGAUAUCAGGAGGAACACCAAUAGCGAAGGCAGCUCGCUGGGACGGUACUGACACUCAAGUGCGAAAGCGUGGGGAGCAAACAGG